rnacentral:rRNA from 1 species
UUUAAGGUUGACCUCGGAUCAGGUAGGGAUACCCGCUGAACUUAAGCAUAUCAAUAAGCGGAGGAAAAGAAACCAACCGGGAUUGCCUCAGUAACGGCGAGUGAAGCGGCAAGAGCUCAAAUUUGAAAUCUGACCCCUUCGGGGUCCGAGUUGUAAUUUGCAGAGGAUGCUUCGGAUGCGGCCCCUGUCUAAGUGCCCUGGAACGGGCCGUCGGAGAGGGUGAG